AAGCUAUGAUGAUUUGCGCUCAAUGCAGUGAUAUAGGGUCUCUGCAACUGUCUGAAUUAUAUGCCGAUGAGUUGCGCAUCUGAGCUU